rnacentral:rRNA from 1 species
UACGUAGGGGGCGAGCGUUGUCCGGAAUCAUUGGGCGUAAAGAGCGUGUAGGCGGCCCGGUAAGUCCGCUGUAAAAGUCAAAGGCUCAACCUUUGAAUGUCAGUGGAUACUGCCGGGCUAGAGUCCGGAAGAGGCGAGUGGAACUCCUGGUGUAGCGGUGGAAUGCGCAGAUAUCAGGAGGAACACCGAUGGCGAAGGCAGGUCUCUGGGCCACUACUGACGCUGAGAAGCGAAAGCAUGGGGAGCGAACAGG